CCUACGGGGCGCUGCAGUGAGGAAUAUUGGUCAAUGGACGAGAGUCUGAACCAGCCAAGUAGCGUGAAGGAUGACUGCCCUAUGGGUUGUAAACUUCUUUUAUAAAGGAAUAAAACGAGGCACGUGUGCCUUUUUGCAUGUACUUUAUGAAUAAGGAUCGGCUAACUCCGUGCCAGCAGCCGCGGUAAUACGGAGGAUCCGAGCGUUCUCCGGAUUUAUUGGGUUUAAAGGGAGCGUAGAUGGGUUGUUAAGUCAGUUGUGAAAGUUUGCGGCUCAACCGUAAAAUUGCAAUUGAUACUGGCAGUCGUGAGUACAGUUGAGGUAGGCGGAAUUCGUGGUGUAGCGGUGAAAUGCUUAGAUAUCACGAAGAACCCCGAUUGCGAAGGCAGCUUACUAAACUGUGACUGACAUUGAUGCUCGAAAGUGUGGGUAUCAAACAGGAUUAGAUACCCUUGUAGUC
rnacentral:rRNA from 1 species